rnacentral:rRNA from 1 species
CCUACGGGAGGCAGCAGUGAGGAAUAUUGGUCAAUGGACGCAAGUCUGAACCAGCCAUGCCGCGUGCAGGAAGACGGCUCUAUGAGUUGUAAACUGCUUUUGUACGAGGGUAAACGCAGAUACGCGUAUCUGUCUGAAAGUAUCGUACGAAUAAGGAUCGGCUAACUCCGUGCAAGUAGCCGCGGUAAUACGGAGGAUUCAAGCGUUAUCCGGAUUUAGUGGGUUUAAAGGGUGCGUAGGCGGUCGGAUAAGUUAGAGGUGAAAUCCCGAGGCUCAACUUCGGAAUUGCCUCUGAUACUGUUCGGCUAGAGAGUAGUUGCGGUAGGCGGAAUGUAUGGUGUAGCGGUGAAAUGCUUAGAGAUCAUACAGAACACCGAUUGCGAAGGCAGCUUACCAAGCUACUUCUGACGUUGAGGCACGAAAGCGUGGGGAGCAAACAGGAUUAGAUACCCGUGUAGUC